GUGGGGAAUAUUGGGCAAUGGGGGAAACCCUGACCCAGCAACGCCGCGUGAAGGAAGACGGUUUUCGGAUUGUAAACUUCUUUUAUCGGGGACGAAAAAAAUGACGGUACCCGAAGAAAAAGCCACGGCUAACUACGUGCCAGCAGCCGCGGUAAUACGUAGGUGGCGAGCGUUAUCCGGAUUUACUGGGAGUAAAGGGCGUGUAGGCGGGAGUGCAAGUCAGAUGUGAAAAUUAUGGGCUCAACCCAUAACCUGCAUUUGAAACUGUUCUUCUUGAGUGAUGGAGAGGCAGGCGGAAUUCCGUGUGUAGCGGUGAAAUGCGUAGAUAUACGGAGGAACACCAGUGGCGAAGGCGGCCUGCUGGACAUUAACUGACGCUGAGGCGCGAAAGCGUGGGGAGCAAACAGGAUUAGAUACCCGGGUAGUCC
rnacentral:rRNA from 1 species